rnacentral:rRNA from 1 species
UACGAAGGGGGCUAGCGUUGUUCGGAUUUAUUGGGCGUAAAGAGCGUGUAGGCGGUCAGGUAGGUCCGUUGUGAAAACUCGAGGCUCAACCUCGAGACGCCGAUGGAAACCAUCUGACUAGAGUCCGGAAGAGGAGAGUGGAAUUCCUGGUGUAGCGGUGAAAUGCGCAGAUAUCAGGAAGAACACCCGUGGCUAAGGCGGCUCUCUAGUACGGUACUGACGCUGAGACGCGAAAGCGUGGGGAGCGAACAGG